UACAGAGGAUGCAAGCGUUAUCCGGAAUGAUUGGGCGUAAAGCGUCUGUAGGUGGCUUUUUAAGUCCGCCGUCAAAUCCCAGGGCUCAACUCUGGACAGGCGGUGGAAACUACCAAGUUGGAGUACGGUAGGGGCAGAGGGAAUUUCCGGUGGAGCGGCGAAAUGCGUAGAGAUCGGAAAGAACACCAACGCGAAAGCACUCUGCUGGGCCGACACUGACACUGAGAGACGAAGCUAGGGGGAGCGAAUGGG
rnacentral:rRNA from 1 species